UGGUGGGUAGUUUGACUGGGGCGGUCUCCUCCUAAAGAGUAACGGAGGAGCACGAAGGUUGGCUAAUCCUGGUCGGACAUCAGGAGGUUAGUGCAAUGGCAUAAGCCAGCUUGACUGCGAGCGUGACGGCGCGAGCAGGUGCGAAAGCAGGUCAUAGUGAUCCGGUGGUUCUGAAUGGAAGGGCCAUCGCUCAACGGAUAAAAGGUACUCCGGGGAUAACAGGCUGAUACCGCCCAAGAGUUCAUAUCGACGGCGGUGUUUGGCACCUCGAUGUCGGCUCAUCACAUCCUGGGGCUGAAGUAGGUCCCAAGGGUAUGGCUGUUCGCCAUUUAAAGUGGUACGCGAGCUGGGUUUAGAACGUCGUGAGACAGUUCGGUCCCUAUCUGCCGUGGGCGCUGGAGAACUGAGGGGGGCUGCUCCUAGUACGAGAGGACCGGAGUGGACGCAUCACUGGUGUUCGGGUUGUCAUGCCAAUGGCACUGCCCGGUAGCUAAAUGCGGAAGAGAUAAGUGCUGAAAGCAUCUAAGCACGAAACUUGCCCCGAGAUGAGUUCUCCCUGACCCUUUAAGGGUCCUGAAGGAACGUUGAAGACGACGACGUUGAUAGGCCGGGUGUGUAAGCGCAGCGAUGCGUUGAGCUAACCGGUACUAAUGAACCGUGAGGCUUAACCUUACAACGCCG
rnacentral:rRNA from 1 species